GAAGGGAGCUUUCAUGUGGCCGACCAACUCUACUCCUUGACUCCUCCCUUCUCUCAUUGAAAAAAAAUGUUUAAGGGGACAUUUCUCUCUCCUAAACUUUUUAUGUUCCAUUGAAGACCUGGAAAACAUGUUAAAUAAAAAUGCUUUGCCACAGCUGACCUAUGUCUUCUGGCUUGUACCCCACAACAUCUUAUCUAAUGGAAGGACAGAAUAACGGGCUCCCAGAUUCACAAGCCCCACCAAGAGGAUCACCCCAGGAACGCUUGGAGGCUGAGGAGUUCACUGAGGCUACUGCAUCUUGAGACUCAGGAUGAAGACCCAGCUUGGGGCUGUCAAAGGUUUUUUGCAUGUCUGACACCCAUGACUCCACCUGGACCUUAUGGCUCCACCCAGAAGCAAUUCAGCCCAACAGGAGGACAGCUUCAACCCAUUACGAUUUCAUCUCUGCCCCAACCACUCAGCAGCAAGCACCUGUUACCUGUCCACCCCCACCCCUUCCCCCAAACUGCCUUUGAAAAAUCCCUAACCUAUGAGCUUUGAAUAAGAUGAGUACGAACUUCAUCGCCCACGUGGCGUGGCCGGCCUCGUGUCUAUUAAAUUCUUUUUCUACUACAA
rnacentral:lncRNA from 1 species